rnacentral:rRNA from 1 species
UGGGGAAUAUUGGGCAAUGGGCGCAAGCCUGACCCAGCCACGCCGCGUGAGUGAUGAAGGCCUUCGGGUCGUAAAGCUCUGUGGGGAAGGACGAAAAAACAUUGGCUAAUAUCCAAUGGCUUGACGGUACUUCCUUAGCAAGCAUCGGCUAACUUCGUGCCAGCAGCCGCGGUAAGACGAAGGAUGCAAGCGUUAUCCGGAUUCAUUGGGUUUAAAGGGUGCGUAGGCGGACUGAUAAGUCAGUGGUGAAAUCUCUCGGCUUAACCGAGAAACUGCCAUUGAUACUGUUAGUCUAGAGUACAGAUGAUGUGGGCGGAAUAUGACAUGUAGUGGUGAAAUACUUAGAUAUGUCAUAGAACACCGAUUGCGAAGGCAGCUCACAAAACUGUAAACUGACGCUGAGGCACGAAAGUGCGGGGAUCAAACAGGAUUAGAUACCCGCGUAGUCCCUGAGCGGGCUGGCAAGGCGCAU